GACAGAGGGUGCAAACGUUGUUCGGAAUUACUGGGCGUAAAGCGUGUGUAGGCGGCUUUGUAAGUCGGAUGUGAAAGCCCCGGGCUCAACCUGGGAAGUGCACUCGAAACUGCAAAGCUUGAGUAUCGGAGAGGUUGGUAGAAUUCUCGGUGGAGAGGUGAAAUUCGUAGAUAUCGAGGGGAAUACCAGUGGCGAAGGCGGCCAACUGGACGAAUACUGACGCUGAGACACGAAAGCGUGGGGAGCAAACAGG
rnacentral:rRNA from 1 species